CCCAAGAAGCAAUGUAAAGUUUGAAACAAGCCGGGCGCGGUGGCUCACGCCUGUAAUCCCAGCACUUUGGGAGGCCGAGGCUGGCGAAUCAUUUGAUUAGAGACGGGGUUUCACCGUGUUAGCCAGGAUGGCCUCGAUCUCCUGACCUCGUGAUCCGCCCGCCUCGGCCUCCCAAAGUGCUGAGAUUACAGACGUGAGCCACUGCGUCCGGCCUAUAUUAGGUUUUUAAAUAGCAGGAGGCAAAGCUUUUCGGUGUGAUCCUGACUUCACUUGGGGAAAAAGGGCAGACACAGGGUCUCACUGUGUCUGCCAGGCUGGAGUGCGGCAGUCUGGAACUCCUGGGCCCAAGCGAUCCUCCAAUCAACCUCCCAAAGCACUGGAACUACAGGUAGCUCAGAGAGCUGCACUGGAGGAGAAAAGCCAGUCCUGGCAGGAGCUUUGGUACCUGGGAAGCUGGAUGGAGAGCCUGGGCCGGAAUAUCAGACCCCUCACCUCUGCAGCCUAGCUUUGUGACCUUGGCAAAUCCAUUCUAUGCGCCUCUGUUUCCUGUACAGUGGGGAUCCUUAUUUCUCUGGCACAGAUUGGUAUUUGUUCUGUAAAGCCCAGUACCACUUUAUUUUAUUUAUUGAUUUUUUGAGACAGGGCCUCACUCUGUUGCCAAGGCUGGAAUGCAGUGGCGAGAUCAUAGCUCACUGCAGCCUCAAACUCCUGGGCUCAGGCCAUCCUCCUGCCUCAGCCUCCUGAGUAGCUGGGACUACAGGCAUGCUCCACUGCGCCUAGCUCCAGUACCAUCUUUAAACGGUGCUCAGAAAACUUGCUAAACUUGGUGGAUGGGAAUUGAAAAGAGAUUUAAUGUUUUAAAAACCAAAGUCACCCAGCUGCAGUGCCACAUGGGAAGGAGGCCUGGAUGUGAAUGUUCCCGGGAGCUGAGAGCUCCUGUGACUGCCGCCAGUUUCCUGUGGUCUCCCACAGACUCAGGACAUCUCCCUCUGCACCAGGACGCCUCAGGACCACCAGAGGGCACUCAUCGCACCUUCACCCCUGGAAGUGAGCUGGUCCUGGGGCCAAAACCCACUGUGCCUGGGAAGCCCUCCCUGGCUUCCGCUCUCCUCAAUGUAUGAUAGCCCUGAUUUACCCCCAGGGACUGUUGCCACUCAGGGUUGUAGAGUAAUAUGUAACCAGACUGGAGAACCACAGCAAUGCUCUCUCCUCUGCCCAUCACCUCCCCUUGGCCCCUCCCUCUUCAUCAGCCUCAUUUUGGAGAAGGGAGAAAGAAGGGAGAGGCAGCAGUCUCCUCCCAGGUGGGGCCGGACUCCAGGGAAGAAGAAUUCUCAGAAGUUGCUGGAGUUGCCGAAUCUGUCAGGGCCCGGGGUUCACAGAGCAGUGAUGGAGGAGAAAGGAGAGGAAGCAGAUCUACGCACACACAGGCAUCAAAACGGAGAAACAAAGUCACAUGCAGAGGGCCGCACAUAGACACAGGGAAACACACACAUGGAGAUGCACAGAAACACGCAGACCCCACGCAGGGACCUGCUUUCCCGCCACAGAGGAAAGCAAUCUGUUAAAACAGACCCACUGUGCACCUAGCCCUCCAUGCUUGGGGACAACACACCUACAAAAAUAUAAGAAAAAAA